rfam:Rhizobiales bacterium 63-7 SCNpilot_expt_1000_bf_scaffold_1581, whole genome shotgun sequence.
GAUAUUCGGGGCGCGCACUCCUCCUCCCAGUGCGCUCCGAUCAGGCCGGCAACCACUCCUCCUCCCAGGUUGUUGGCCACUGACAAUGGCGCCCACCGGAUCCUCCUCCCCCGGUGGGCGUUAUUC